AGUUUGGGGAUAAUCUGUUACGCAAUAAGGGAUCAUGAAUGCAGGGGGAGGAGAGUGAAAGAAGGUGGAGGGUGGCAGGGGGUGACGGCUAGUUAAAUAGGAUGGUUGAGGGGCCAGUGGAGCAGAGAGCUGAAUGAAGUGGACAGCGAGAGAUGCAGACAGAGAAGAGCUUUCAAGGGACAAGAGCAUGUGCAAAGGCCCUGUGGCAGGAACGUGCUUGUGGUUCUGGUUGGCAUAGCUGGAGAGAUGUGGGAGGGGUAGGGAGCGAGGUCAGAGAGAUGGGACAGGUGUUGCAGAUUAUGUCUGACCAGCGAUCAGAAUUAAGCAGAGUGACAGUGCGAUCUGGGCCAAGGUUUCAGAUGGUUAUUCUGGCUGCUGCACAGAAAACAGUCACCAGUAGGGAAGCCCAGUGGUUACUUGCCCUUAGAGCGGUGGAGGGCUAGCACAGUGGCGGUGAGAAGUAGUGAGUCUCUGGAUAUCGCAAGGCAGUGUUGACAGGACUCACCUUUUGACUGGGUGCAGGGUAGGAGACAAGGGGAAGCUGGCAGGCCGACGAGCCUCCGACGGAGCCGGGAUCCUGCUUGAAGUGCUCCAAGCGCGGUCCACGGGCCAGCGGCCCCAGCGGCCCCAGCAACACCUGCAUCACGUGGGUGCUUGCUCGAAGUGGGGACGCUCGGGCUCCCACACCACCUGCCGACAUUUAACGGGAUCCCCGGGUGGUCCCCGUGCACAUUGCACUUUGGAGAAGCGCUUUUCGAGGUUCCUGCUCACUCUUGGCUGCACGUUGGAAAAGCUCGUCAGCGAAUUCUACUGGUUCCGCCACAAAAAUACAUCCCGUGUCUGACCACCGCUGAUCCCCUCCGUCACUGCCACUUUUGUCCCGGAUGCCAUCAUCCCCUACCUGGAUGUCGGGAUUUCACAGGCCCCCGGAAUACCCAGUCAGGACGGGGACCAGUACCUUAGGCCAGUGGCUCUCAAACCUCAGCGUUUCUCAGCAAGUGCGAAAAUCACUCGGGGGGGUCUGUGCAAACGCUCACUGUUGGCCGGCACCCCCAGAGUCUCUGAUUUAUUAAGUCGGGGGCGGGGACCGAGAAUUUGCUUUUAUGAUAAGUUUACAGGUGCUGCUGAGGCUGCUGGCCUGGGACCACAUUUGGAGAACCACGGUGGAAUAGUUUCAGCAAGCACCGCUUCCGGCUGGAGCACGUGGAAUGAAUUACUACGUGAAUUACUACGUGAAUUACUACGUGGAAUCCGUACGCCCUUCUAAGACCUGACCCCGCAGAGCACUGCCUUGAUCCAUUUCCAGAAAGGUCUCCCCUGAUCCAGAUCAGGACAGGUGCUGCGUGAAAUGAAAUGAACUCAUCUCUUCGUCUAGGUUGGCCGGGGUAGAAAAGGGAACUGGAUGGACGGGCAGGAUUCAGACCAGGAUAAGUGAGGAGAAGGGGAGAAGGUGGCUUUUCCAGGAUGCUUGGGAUCCAAGCCCCAGGGGAAGCAAUGGGGUGAAGAGUUGACAGAGGAAUGAGGCCAGGAGGGAGAAGGCUCUGGGAUCUCCAAGUAGUUAACAACUACCCCACCGGGAAGGACCCUGCUUGCCAGGAAAGGAGAAUACUUGUGGUCCAAACAGAAAAACUCAAAACGAGAUAGUUCACUUUGUCCUUGGCCGACACUUUCUAGCCUCACUGGGAUCAAGACAUAAGUACACUUGUGUAUGAAAUGUGCCUAAUGAGUCAGAGUACCCAGGCUGGAAAUUGGUUCACUGCGUUCCAUUAAUAGAGUGGAUUCAUGGGUGCCUGGCUGGCUCAGUCCACAGAGCAUGUGGCUCUUGAUCUUGGGGUAGCAAGUGCGAGCCCCAUGUUGAGUAUAGAGAUCACUUAAAAAUAAAAUCUUAA